AUUGAACGCUGGCGGCAGGCCUAACACAUGCAAGUCGAGCGGAUGAAGGGAGCUUGCUCCUGGAUUCAGCGGCGGACGGGUGAGUAAUGCCUAGGAAUCUGCCUGGUAGUGGGGGAUAACGUCCGGAAACGGGCGCUAAUACCGCAUACGUCCUGCGGGAGAAAGUGGGGGAUCUUCGGACCUCACGCUAUCAGAUGAGCCUAGGUCGGAUUAGCUAGUUGGUGGGGUAAAGGCCUACCAAGGCGACGAUCCGUAACUGGUCUGAGAGGAUGGUCAGUCACACUGGAACUGAGACACGGUCCAGACUCCUACGGGAGGCAGCAGUGGGGAAUAUUGGACAAUGGGCGAAAGCCUGAUCCAGCCAUGCCGCGUGUGUGAAGAAGGUCUUCGGAUUGUAAAGCACUUUAAGUUGGGAGGAAGGGCAGUAAGUUAAUACCUUGCUGUUUUGACGUUACCAACAGAAUAAGCACCGGCUAACUUCGUG
rnacentral:rRNA from 1 species